ACAGUCAGAACUAAAGAAACCCCGCCUUAACUACCCCUCCCCCAUUAUGUAUUAGAAUGUGUAAAUGGCUCCAGCCUAGGGUCUGAAGUAUCUGUGGUAGAAAGCAUGUGCUUUUAAUAGUUAAGUUUGUCUGUUUCAGUUAAGGGCUAACUUCUGAUUGAUUCUUCACAUGACAGAGUGUUUAAACUUGAAUUUGAGUUAAAACCUUUCACUUUGUUAAUGAUAUUAACAUUGAUAUACCUUCACACAAACAUGUGCACACAUAUGUGAAUACACACACAUGUGAAUGCACACGCAUGUGAAUGCACACACAUGUGCGUACACCACACAGACAUACAGAAUGAAAAUACAAAGAGAAUAAGGAAACUAAAUUUACAAUCUUGAGAGAAAGGCAGCAUUUUGAAUCAUGAAAAGAAGAAGAUUAAGAACAACAAAAUGGUCUUUUUAUGAAUGUCUUCAUUCAGAGCGUUACACAGAGCACCCUCACACUGAAGUUAGCUUGUGAGGCCUCUGGGCCAUGACUGUCUGGUGGAAUUCUAGAGACGGCAGAGUGGUGUGAACUGCAGACCACAGUUUACAGUCUCCACAGAGAGUAUUUCUAGAGAACGUCUACAACUGUCUCCCGGGACAAGGCUUUGCAACUCUCAGGGCCAUCAGGCAACCUUCUCUUUUAUGUCCAGAGUGAAUUCCUUAGAUUCGUGCUAAUUAAAAAUGUGUCUAAGUAUCUGAGAGUCUUUGAUUCAGUGACAAGAGAAGUGUAACCCUCUCUGAGAAAUUGUGCUCUAGUCUCAAAAAGGUGGAGUGACUGUAGGGUCUCCAGGCCCGACCUCUGAGGUAAUGUCUCAGAAUUGAGUCUUCAGUACAAUAGAUAAAAUGUCUUUAUUCAGGCCGUCAAGCUGAGGCACAUCCAUGCUCUUGCUCUGCUGGGUGGCUAUUUGCUGUCUAGGGCUGCCCACUUCUGUGAGUGCUCAGGCAGCUAGCUGUAAGGGCGUGCAGCCUGCCCCAAGGGAAAAGGACAGUUGGUGCAGCCUGUUCUGGCACCAUCCUGGUAGAGGCUCUGCCCUCCUGUCCCUGCCCUCAAGAAAUUCAUCAGCUCCCCAGAGACUGUAAGGCAUUAUCUCACUCAGCCCUCUGGCUCCAAGUAGGAAUUCACUUAAGUUAUCUCUGCAGAGGAGAAUGUCUUCAUGUUCAACCUGCAUGAUUAAAAAUUAGUUUUAAAU
rnacentral:lncRNA from 1 species